rnacentral:lncRNA from 1 species
CUCGGUUGAAAUGACACGCCCAUGUCCUUAAGGGACUCGACGUGUUCUUACCUUCUAUCACCCAAAUCAAUUUCUUUCCUCCCUACAGCUCUGGCAAUCAUAAAAAUAAAUCGACGCCAAACCCGAACGUCCCAAAAUACUGUCCAAUAUCUUGAUUUUAUUGAGUCAGCUAAACUCAUCACGAGACUCGCAAUUUGAAAAAUUAAAAAAAAAAAAGAAAAGACUCAAAACUCGGGUUGC